ACGAACGCUGGCGGCGUGCUUAACACAUGCCAGUCGAACGGGCCCGCCCCUGUUUUUGGGGGUGGGUUGAGUGGCGAACGGGUGAGUAUCACGUGAGUAACCUGCCCCCUGCUCCUGGAUAACUGCUUGAAAGGGCGGCUAAUACGGGGUGUGCCGGCUGGUCCGCAUGGGCCUGGUCGGGAUAGUUUCAUCUUCGGGUGUUUCGGUGGGGGAUGGGCUCGCGGCCUAUCAGCUUGUUGGUGGGGUGAUGGCCCACCAAGGCGGUGACGGGUAGCCGGCCUGAGAGGGUGGGCGGCCACACUGGGACUGAGACACGGCCCAGACUCCUGCGGGAGGCAGCAGUGGGGGGUAUUGCACAAUGGGCGGAAGCCUGAUGCAGCGACGGCGCGUGAGGGAUGGAGGCCUUCGGGUUGUGAACCUCUUUCUCCGGUGGUGAAGGCCCUGUCCGUUGCGGCGGGGUUGACGGUAGCCGGGUAUGAAGCGCCGGCUAACUACGUG
rnacentral:rRNA from 1 species